GAUACACGAGGUCAUUGCUUGCGUCGAUGCGUUGGCGUCGGGGGAAAGUCUCCCGGCAAGAAGAAGAAAACAAGUGCGACGAGCCACGACUGGUUCAGCUCCUUCGGCGACAUCAGGAUCGUACAA
rnacentral:RNase_MRP_RNA from 1 species